rnacentral:rRNA from 1 species
AUGGCAAGCCAGAAGCUCAAGCAUUAUUUUCAGGGUCAUCCUAUCAUAGUCGUCAGUUCAGCCCCUCUGGGAGAUAUCAUUCAAAACAGAGAAGCAACUGGCCGGAUUGCCAUGUGGGCUAUUCAGCUUGGACCUCACGGUCUCAAGUAUACACCUCGCACAGUGAUCAAAUCUCAAGCACUCGUGGACUUCAUCAAUGAUUGGACAGAGUUGCAGGCACCAGAGGAAAAGCCAGAUAACACUUAUUGGACUAUUCACUUUGAUGGGUCCAGGCAAUUGGAAGGCUCGGGGGUUGGAGCCAUAUUAAUUUCCCCACGAGGUGACAAGUUUUGUUAUGUUCUUCGCUAA